UACGUAGGGCGCAAGCGUUGUCCGGAAUUAUUGGGCGUAAAGAGCUCGUAGGCGGGAUGGCAAGUCGGUCGUGAAAUCCCUCGGCUCAACCGAGGAACGUCGAUCGAUACUGCUGUUCUUGAGGAUUGCAGAGGAGACUGGAAUUCCCGGUGUAGCGGUGAAAUGUGUAGAGAUCGGGAGGAACACCGGUGGCGAAGGCGGGUCUCUGGGCAAUUCCUGACGCUGAGGCGCGAAAGCGUGGGGAGCAAACGGG
rnacentral:rRNA from 1 species